ACAAACUUGGUCAUUUAGAGGAAGUAAAAGUCGUAACAAGGUCUCCGUAGGUGAACCUGCGGAGGGAUCAUUACUGAGUUUUUAACUCCCAAACCAUUGUGAACUUACCACUGUUGCCUCGGCGGCAGUCCUCUUCUUACGAAGUGGCGGCCGCCGGUGGACUACUAAACUCUUGUUAAUUUUUGUCAAUUCUGAAUUAAAAACUUAAUAAGUUAAAACUUUCAACAACGGAUCUCUUGGUUCUGGCAUCGAUGAAGACGCAGC
rnacentral:misc_RNA from 1 species